GAGUUUGAACCUGGCUCAGGAUGAACGCUGGCGGCGUGCCUAACACAUGCAAGUCGAGCGAAGCGAUUUUGAGGAAGUUUUCGGAUGGAAUCGAAAUUGACUUAGCGGCGGACGGGUGAGUAACACGUGGGUAAUCUGCCUUAUACAGGGGGAUAACAGUUAGAAAUGACUGCUAAUACCGCAUAAGCGCACGGGAACGCAUGUUUCUGUGUGAAAAACUCCGGCAGUAUAAGAUGAGCCCGCGUCUGAUUAGCUGGUUGGUGGGGUAACGGCCUACCAAGGCGACGAUCAGUAGCCGGCCUGAGAGGGUGAACGGCCACAUUGGGACUGAGACACGGCCCAAACUCCUACGGGAGGCAGCAGUGGGGAAUAUUGCACAAUGGGGGAAACCCUGAUGCAGCGACGCCGCGUGAGUGAAGAAGUAUUUCGGUAUGUAAAGCUCUAUCAGCAGGGAAGAAAAAAGACGGUACCUGACUAAGAAGCCCCGGCUAACUACGUGCCAGCAGCCGCGGUAAUACGUAGGGGGCAAGCGUUAUCCGGAUUUACUGGGUGUAAAGGGAGCGUAGACGGCGCGGCAAGUCUGAAGUGAAAGGCAGGGGCUUAACCCCUGAACUGCUUUGGAAACUGCCAUGCUAGAGUGCUGGAGAGGUAAGUGGAAUUCCUAGUGUAGCGGUGAAAUGCGUAGAUAUUAGGAGGAACACCAGUGGCGAAGGCGGCUUACUGGACAGUAACUGAC
rnacentral:rRNA from 1 species